GACGUUUAAAGUUGGAAUAGAUCGGAGACGCCAGCAUUUAAUUAUACUCAACUUUACAAUAGAGACGGGCCCACUACUCACCAAACUUUCAAAUCUCCGACAAUAUUCAAUGCUCAAUUCACGGAGGGAUGUGAAGAGGUUUAAAGCUGGAAUAGAUUGUAUACCACUACAUUUAAUUAUACUCAACUCCACAAUAGAGACAGGCCCACUACUCACCAAACUUUUUAAUCUCUCACAAUUUUUAACACUCAAUUCACGGAGGGACGUGAAAAGGUUUAAAGCUGGAAUAGAUUGUAAACUAGGGCAAUUCUCUACAACCAAGUUUCGAAGAGAUGCACAACAACGAAAGACAUCGGGGGCAAUACAAGUUAAUUUUUCACAAUCCAUUAUCUCCAUACCUUCUGUCUUCAACAACAUCCCUUCUGGCACACAUGUAAGCUCCUCAUUACCUUCUAUCAUCAAAUUCUUCAGAGAUGGAAAGUGACUAGGAACCUUUCUCAGUUUGAUACAAUUCUCGAUAUCCAGCUUCUCCAGGCAAGGAAACACCAUGACUUGUUUUGGUGCUUCCAUCCAUUCAAUUAGCUCCUUGCAAUUACGAAUGCAUAAUUCUUUCAGUGCUGGAAAUACGUCAUUUCCAUAAAUCUCUUCUCCAACACAUUUUAGAUUAUCCAUUCCUCCAAUCCAAACAACUGUAAGAUGAGGUAGAUGGCCGAGUGUUGGGACUUUUUCACAUCUAUUGCAACCCUUAAGCCUAAUCUGCUUUAAAUUGUCAAGCUUAAUCAUCCAUGAUGGAAAUUCAGUACCCAUGAAAUAUCGAAUCUCUAGCCUUUCCAACUCAGAAUGCGGCUGGAGGCCUUCUAGUACAUCCUCUUCAUUAUUAUUGGUUGUUGACCUAUUUUUCGUCCAUUUAAAUAAAAAGUGGCAUACGUUUUUCUUGUCCUUUAAUUUAGCUUUCCUUGCCUCAUCUCCAUUCCUUACAUGUUCCAAAUUACAAAUAAUCAAUUUACCCUUCAAUUGAUUCAAGACAGCCAGCUCCUCAAUUUCCCUACCCAUUACCUUAUAAUCCUCAUAAGAGCAAGGUAAUUUUCGAAGGCUAGUUAAUCUCCCCAAUACCCCAACUGGAAAUUUCGUUCCCUCGUCACAAUAAACAUAUCUCAAGUUGAUCAAGUUUUGCACGUCUUUUGGAAAUUCUUCAAGACCGCAGUAUGUUGCUCUUAAUGUCUGUAGGUUAUACAGCUUGCCAAUAGAAUUUGGGAGUCUUUUGAUUUCUGUAAAGGAAAUGUCAAGAUAUCUCAAGUGUUUUAGCUUUCCGAUUGAACUUGGAAGCUCCUCAAUAUUUUCGUCAUAUAAUUUUAAGACACGUAAAGCUUUAAACCCUGGCAACAUGUUUCGAGGUAGUGCUUCAGCAUUCAAAAACAGAGAUCUCAAUUUCCCACUACUUCCUUUUGGAAUUCUUUCUAUAUUGGGAGUUGCAACAUCUUGAUUCUUGUGGAAGUCUCGCAUCAUGCUUCUAGAUUCGGAUGCACGUUCUGCAAGAUCGUGCACUAGAUCGUGCAUCUUGCAUUCAGUAACAAUGCCAUCAUCAUCCACUGUAGCAUUUUGAAAUAAGGAGCUUUGGAAUAGAAUAUCAAAAUAUUCAUUACCUAUAUCCUCCAUCUCUAAAUUACUUUUUUCAGGAGAAGGAUGGAGGAAUCCUUGAGCCAUCCAAAGUUGAAUCAAGUCAUCUCUUUGCAUCUCAGCAUCUUUCAUGAAUGCUGAGCAAUAUGAAAAACAUUGCUUUAGUGCUGGUGAUUCUAAAUUAUCGAAACUCAACUUCAAGACUGACAUGAUUCUAUCUUCUGCCUUUGGUAAGUCCCAUAUUCUACUGUCUUUAAUUCUAGACCAUUCAGAAGUACUCUUUUUAGAAUGCAAAAUGCCUCCCAAAACCUGGUAAAUGGAUUAGAGAAAUUCUAUCAAAUUAUUAGUAGGGUAAAAUUAGCAAUAAAAGGAGUCAUUCAGAUAUAACCCCUUGCAACUAAAAUAGUCUAGACAAAAACCCACAUACUUCUAACUAAAACCCAAAACUAAAUUGAACGCCAAAAUUAUCCAUUCAUAUUGAUUUAUUAACAAUCCCAUGCCAUACAUCCCCAAUGUUUUUGCACCGAACAUAUUCUCCCUUUUAAAUCCCUUAUUUUCUGAGACAAAAAAUAAAAUAAAAUCCUUUUUAAAUCCCUUUUGUUAACAAUCCCCGGCCCGCAAGACCAUAUGAAAUUUUUAUCGUAUAUAAUAUAGGUAGCCUAUGCAUUAAAAAAAAAGAGUUUUGGAUUUUAAAAAAAAAGAAUUUUUAUCGUAUAUAAUAUAAAUCCCUUUGGAUUGAAUGUUUUAUUGUAUAAUAAUCUAAAAAACGAAGGUGGUUUCGAUGGGAAUCUCUUGUAUUGUUGUUGACCGACAUAUCAUGUUUAAUUGAUUUUUCAGUAGUUUAAUAUAUUUUAAUAGGAAAUUGAACUUUGUAAAUCAAACAGAACCCAAUGAUCAAAAAGGUUUUUAACCCUUAAUUUUAUAUUUGUUAGGUAAAUUAAAAUUAAUUACUAGAAGCAAGGUUUUUAGCAAAUCACCACACCAAUAGGCAAUAUUUACAUAUAUCAAUAUUGAGGUUAAUUAAGGGUGUGGAGACUGAUUCCCAAGUUGCCAUUAAGAUGGUGAGGGGGAGAGGGCAGUGGCUGUGGAGGUAGAUAGUAUUCUCUUUGACAUUCAAAUUGCAAUUCGAAAAUUCCAGGAAGUAAUUUUUAUUUUUGCAUCUCGCAGUUGCAACAAAGCUGCUCAUGAGGUUGCUACUUUUGCGUUUAGGGUAGGUGGUAGUUACUAUUGGGAAUCAUAAAGGGCUUUACCGGUGGGGUACUAAUGCAAAUGUCUUCUAGAACAUCUUUGUUAAUUUCUAUUUAAUAAAGUGAUUGUGAAGAAAGAGAUUGUGGAGAACGGGCAUGAUGACAUGAAACUAAAAGAGAAAUCGACAAUCUUGUAAUUUCCUUCUACAUGAAAAUUCAUCAAUGCAAUUCAAAAUAACCCGUUUAUGAUAUGAUCGAUAAAUUCCUAGAAAUCAUCCAAUAAUCUAUAAAACUCUAAAUAAAGAAAAAUUAAUGCCUGAUGUAAGAAAUGCUUGUAUAAAAAAUAUAUAUAUGUAUGUAUAUAGUACGUGUACCUUUGCCAUCAAUGGUAGACCUUCACAAUUUUUAGCGAUCUCCCGUCCAAUUCUCUCUAAAUGAAGAGGUAUAUCAGAACUACCAUUUGAGCAAGCUGCAUGUUUCAAUAUGGACCAGCAUUCAUCUGUUGAUAGAAGUUCCAAAUCCUGUCGUGGAAGUUUUUUCUCUGAGAUUGAUGCAACUUUGGCACUGCGGGUAGUGACAAUAAUUGUGCUUCCCCGAGCAGAAUCAAGCUUUAACAAGCGAUCCAUCAAGUCAUUCCAUUGUCUUGAAUCGUCAUUCCAGACAUCAUCAAGUACCAGCAAGUAUUUUUUUCCUUUCAGCUCUUCUUGAAGGUGUUUAAGAAGUGCAUCCAAACUUUGUUUUACAGCGGCUUUUAAUGGGCUAAGAGAUUCUAACAUGGAAAUUAAAAUCAAUUUGACGUCAAAAGGAUCAGAUACGCACACCCAUACUUUUGGAUCAAAAUACCCUUUUAUAGAAUUAUCAUUGUAUACAGACUUGGCCAAAGUUGUCUUUCCUAGGCCUGCCAUUCCCACAAUGGCCAUAACAGCAAUAUUUUCUUGAUUGAUGUUGGAGUUGGUCAAGGUUGUAACUAUGUUUGACAGAACAUCCUCCCUGCCAACGAUGAUUCCAUCUUUUUCAGGAAAUGAGUCGGUUUGUAUGCGUCCUCUAAUUCUUUCAGGGGUUGCAUCUUUUUCUUUGGAAACAAGUCCAAUGACAGAUGCUUCACUCUUGAGAUCCGCCAAGGAUGCAUUGAUCUUCUGAAUUUUAUGUGCAAUUUUAAGGCGGAAUGCAACCGGAUUGGAAAGUGAAAAGAAGUUGAGUACCUUUUUCUUCAUAUGAUUUCGGAUUUCUACUUUGCGCCGGAGAAGUUCAUAGUUGAAUUCAUCCAAGACAUCAUCUGCAUCUUGAGCUAGGCGUUUAAGAUUCGUCACCCAAUCUUCUACGGACUUGCUCCGACCUUGUGGUCCCUGGGCAACGUCGGCUAAGUAACCUUCAAUGGUGGACAGUGUUUUGCGAAGCCUGUUUAGUUCAGCUUUGAAUCCCCAGGCAAGACUGAUUUCUUGAGCAGCAAGGGAAAUCAGCUUCGUCAGUAUUCCCUCGGUCGCAAAAGUAAGCACAGAUUCUACAGCCAUAUCUUAGUUUCCUUGUGUAACCCUGCGCAAGACAAACAGCAGAUCAUAUUAAUGCUAGUUAAUUAUUAUUAGUUAGGAAACGAGAAGAAAAGACUGAAGAUGGAUGAAAACGCACACAGGCACAGAGCUUCUCUCGUAGGUAGAAGGAGAAGGAGAUGAUGAAUGCAGAUUUGCAUAAACAAGAGAGCAAUAGCACGCAGAGACAGGCAGAGGAGAGGACCUUCUUUAACUCUCAGGAGGAGACUUAAAAGUCUUGCUGGGCCCUACCAUUUUCAUAUUUGUGGACACAUGCAUUUCUCACUAACUGAUCAUUAGAUACCUCCAAUCUACAUUAUACAGUGAUUCUGCAUUACCACCAUGGCAUUUGUCUGGUGGUGGUACAGACGAAUAAUGAGACGACACCUGGACUGCUGCCACCAUCUUACUUUAUACCACCAUGGCAUUUGUCUAAUGCUAGCCUUUCAUCACAGCUGACCUCUUUAACAGAGAGUUGUUACAAACUGUACAGCUGUCAUUUGUACAGCUAUAUUAUUACAAUUGUCUAUAAACAAUUCAAUGUAAUUAUUGUUUAAUGAAAUGAGAAUACAAUUUUAGUUUUCUCACAGGGACGAAUAAUUAGACGACACCUGGACAGCUGUUACUAUCUACUUUAUACCGUGGUGCUUGUAUUACCACAUGCAUUUGUUAGCAUUUGUACCAACCAACGAAUAAGGAGCAAACAAUUUCAUGAAAAAACAAUCAAAUGUUACAGUAAGUUCAUGAGAAAAUAACUUCAUUUUUAAAAAGGCAAAACAGGAAAAAUAAACAAAGUGUAAAAACAAAUGGGUAAAAAACAUUUUUGGUUACUAGAGUUAGGCACGAAAACAAUUUUUUACAACCCUUAUGAUAUGAUGUACAUUAGGAACAUACAAGGGGUCAUAGUCCCCCAACUUCUUCUUCCGAAAUAUUAUCCUUAUUCCGCCCUUUCUUUUAGAUCUUGGAGCACUUUAUCCAAGAUCUAUAAUAUAAGUAUUAUAUUUACCUACCUACUAAGAAACUACAAACUAAGUCAAAAUAAUUAUAGAUCAAGUUCCAACUGAAAUGGAGGUAAUCUUUUACAACUGGGACAUCUUUCUCUUUAAUGGUCUCUCUGUAAAUUCCUAUUAAAAAUGCUUCACAAAAGACAACAAUAAACACAUUUUGUUCCUUUUUAAUAUGAUUUAGAAAGCUGUUGCAAGCACAAUGGGAGUCGUUUUUGCUUGGCCAAAAUAUGUCAUCUAAACGAUUUGUUGGCGAGAUAUCCUAGUUCUAUUAGGAUAUUUCCUUCUUAUUCUAUUAGGAUUUUUAUUUAUUUCCUUUUGUAUAAAUAUUAUGUGAUUAGGACUUUUUUUAUUUCCUAGUAGGGUUUGUAACCUUGUUUUAUAAAUACCUCCUUUCGGAGAAUGAAAUACGUAUGAAAAUAUUCUACCCAUAUUGUUUGACUUGACAUUAGAGCCGGUUUUCUGAUGACCUAUGUGUGUUGUGCCCACUCAUGUUCUAUUGUGUGCCCUGAUUCCUUUUAGGGUUCUUGUGCCCGUGCUUGUGCUGUGUUUGUCAUAUCUGCUUCGUGUUGUGGUUUUUUUUUUCGCUGCUAUCAUGGGUGAUGAUUUCAAAGUCAUGGUGGGUGCCAGUGCGUCUACAACAAAGGAGGAACGUCCCUCGCGUGAUUACUCUACCCUGAUUACUUCUGACAAAUUGGAUGGCUCCAAUUAUGCCUUUUGGUCUCGUGGUGCUCGUAUUACAAUUACUAGUCGUCGUAUGGCAAGUUGGAUCGGUGGGAAGAAGCCUGCUCCGUCUAAAGAUUUUGCUGCCUAUGUCGAAUGAGAAGAAGAUAAUUAUCUGGUGUAGUCAUGGCUUCUCAAUUCCAUGACUAAGCCAAUUUGUUCCCUAUUUGAACAUGAUGAUACCGCUUUUGAUAUAUGGGAGGCUGCCCGGAAGACCUAUAUUGUGACUCAAAAUAGUUCUUGGCUGUUUCAACUCCGACGGCAGUCCAUACUUACAUGUCAGAAUGGUGAAUCUGUCAAAGUGUUCUAUGAAAAACUCCAUGCUAUCUGGCAGGAGAUUGAUUGUCUGCGUCCACAUGAGUCUAGUUGUGCAGAUGAUGGGGCUCGUCGUCUAAAAGAAGUUGAAGUCGAUCGAGUUUAUGAUUUUCUUAGAGGACAUGAUCCACCGUAUGAUGGUGUCCAUAGUCGUAUUCUUGCUCUUAGUCCUGUCCCGGCCCCUCUCGAAACUUGUACCAUGGUCAUGGAGGAAGACACCCGUCAAUCCACUAUGCUUGGAGGAGGUUCGACAUACCGUAGUACAAAGCUUGCAACUAUCAUCUAUAAAUUGCAACAGAAGGUCAUAUCUUACAGGACCCGACCCAAAUUUCACUUUAGAAUCCGAGUCGAACCAUGUUCAUGUCCAACACUUGGCGGUUGCUGGGCACAAUGACUAAAUUGCCUUUCUAGUUAAAAUUCAAGUUUAUUACAAUUUCAACUUCUACAGAAAAUUCGGCAAAGUCUCCCCUGCAAUUUGAUCAUUUCCUAGAAUUUCCACCUGUCAAAAGCAUAAAUAUACAUAUCCCAACUGCCAGCAUGCUUCCAAUUUAAGAUCCAAAUAGUUCUGAUAAACUAAACGGCCUUAGGCCACACAGAAAGUCCUAGGGCAAAUCAUCAGAGCAACUAAUUCAGGAAUAUACAACAGAACAAUUUGAUUUCAAAAGAAAAUUAUAUAUAAGAGGAAGAGUGGAGCAGAUUGUGGAAUCUGCCCGGUGGUGGAGCUCUGGUGCACGUCUAUUGCCUGGGGCGCAAAACAUUCAAAAAUGUGAGUGGACAAAAAUAAAGAUCUAGAAAAUAGCAUAUGAACAUACUAACCCCACUGUAAAAACAGUUAUGCAAAACUGAAUUUUCCUCUUCAUUAUAUUCGUACUAAAAUCAAUGCAUUCACAUAUUUAUAUACGUAUAUACCAAUCAUAUUCAAGGUCAAUAAAACUCUCUUAAAAGCAUUGAAAUCAAUUUAAAACUACCACCUAGGUGUACCCCUUUAAUUCUGUCAAUUCCUGAUAAUCCGUCAAUUCCCCUGGCAGGUCUCGGUGACACAAAGUCAACUCGAGCCGCAUACUGGCAGGAUUCAGGGGACCAUAGUCAGCCUGAUCCGCAUUCCUGGCUCCCACAGUCCCGGCGUCCCCAAAACUUUAGAGGCAAAUGUCAAGUGCGGUGACAAAACUGAAGGCAACCUGGAUGUCCGUGGACAUCGUCAUAUCCGAAGGCAACAUAUACUGAAGGCAACCUGUUUCUAUAAUUGGGUACCUAAGGUGGCUUAAGAGAAUAUAAAAUUUCUGAAAGGUCUGAUGAAUAACUGAAUUUUUGUUAAAUCUAGAAGUCUGCUGCCAUUUUUGGAUACACCCCCUUAGACAUGUCAUAUGAUGGUAUCCAAUCCAUAUCAAUUUCAUAUGAUGGUAUCCAUAUGCCUCAAAACCUCAUAAAUAAAAAAAGGGAGAUUCACUAUUAUACCCAAUAUGGGGGCCCAAAUUAUAAAAAUACCCUACAUAAAAUGGACUUUAGAAACACACCCAAAGCCCAUUUACAACAUAACAAAAAAGCUUUUAACUUCUUAUAAAUUACAAAACUGCCAUCAAUUUCUUAAAACAAGCCCAACCCCAAAAUCUCAUAAAAAUACCCAAAGCACUCAAUAGGGCAUCAAAGUAAUUUAAUAAUCAAUAUUAAAUUCAAUAAGGCCAGCUAUCAUUUUUUGGGUUUUUUUUGGGUUUGUUUAUAGGAAUUCAAUUGUGUAGGGUUUAUUUAUAAUAUUAGUGCUAGAAAUGGGUAUAUCACUAAAUAUCUCAUAAAAAAAACUCCAAAACACUCAAUAGAGUAUCAAAGUAAUUUAAUAAUUAAAAUUGAAUUCAAUAUGGUCAACUGUCAUGUUUUGGGUUUGUUUAUAGAAAUUAAAUAGUAUAGAGUUGAUCUAUAUCACUAAUGCUAAGAAUGAAUGUAUAACUAAAUAUCUCUAUUUUAUUUCCUUCACACGUAGCUUACAGCAUACGUGCCCAACCAUUUGCAUUUUAUAAUAAGGAAAGCUGGUGCCUGGUAAGUCACUGAGUCAUUAUUUAAUCAGUUUUGUUUAGAUUCAUUCAGUUUAGCUUGAGAACGGCGAACCCAAAGUUUCAAGCCGGUUAAACAUUAUAAAUAUGAACAAAUUUUAUUUUUCAGAACGACGAACCCAAAGUUGCAGUAAUCUGGGUCACUACAACUGAAUAAAAUUGAUCAGGUAUGGUUUUUUUUUUUUUUUUUAACACAAGUUCACAAUUGGGCACUACCUUCAUCUUCAUUGAUAAUAUUUUUUUUAAUAGAAAAGUUAAUAUAAAUCCAAAAAUUCAAUCAAAAAUUGAAUUUAGUCUACACAUUUAUUGUCAUUGAUACAAGUCCUUUGACAAUCGGGCACUACCUUCAUCUUCAUGGACACUUUUUUUCUUAUAAAAAAGAAUCACUUCAUUCACAACUUUCAUUAAUAAAAGAGAGAGAGAUUGUUUACAAGGGAGGGCGAAAAAGGUGGACCUUUUGCCAUAAAAAAUACCUUCAUGGUCAUGUUGAAUCCUCGGUUUUGAAUUUAAAUUUAAAAUAAUUUACUAGUUUUGUAACCACACCAAGAAAAAAAAAAAAAAAAAAAAAAAAAAAAAGGGCAGUCAACCCUCUUUUUAUUUUUUAUUUUUUUUAUUUUUAUGGAAAGGAAACUUCCAUUUAAACGCACAGAAACAGCCACAGACCAGGAAACAGACAAACUACACUCCGUUGGGCAUUAAACUACUCUAGACACCCAAAGAAAAAAGCCAAGAAAAAACGAAGUAAAAGGCUACAAAAGACAAAAGGAAUGGAUAGGAACCAAAACGUAAAUAAACAAAAGAAAUGCUGGAAAGGAAAUUCAAUCCAUUCAUUCUAUGUCCUUAAGGAUAAAUGAAAACAGAAAGGCUAGAAGCUUCUAACCAAACUGGAAGCAUUCAAUAACCUUUCAGCCGUUAUACAAUAGCCCGUUUACACAAAGACGUGGCGAAAAGGAGAAACGUUAGCUCCUAGUCCAAGUACCUAGUUUGCUUGUGGGGCAUGGAAGCCCGUCGUUGUCUCGUUUGUUGCUAAUCUGUGUCAACAUUAGGAAUAAUUAGGCCUGAUCACCAACAUAGGUUUAGAUCACAAUACCAAUGGGAUUACAAGCUUUGCUGUGCAAUUAUUGUAUAACUAACAUAUUAAAAACUAAAAAGUUAAGGAAAAGGCAGAGCCUGGGCUAGAGAAGAGUACAACAAUGCAUUGAUCUGCCAUCAGAACUGGUUGAAUGUAACUAAUGAAGUAGGAACAUUAAACGGGAAGGGGAGGCGUGGGAGUUUGAAAAGCUUACAUUGCUUCACUGCGAAAGUUCGAGCUAUUAGGAAUUCAUUGCACACAUGACUAGAAAGAUGAAAGGUGUAGAUCAUGAAUAUCGAACUGUACAUAAGAAAAUCAGUUUCAGUCAUAACAGAUUUAUAAAAAUGAAAAAUAAUAAAUACAAAGAUGUAUGGUCAAUGACGAGCAAAGGAAAAAGAAGGAUAAACAAGUUGUCAUUCCUUUGAGAAAUGCUUCAAAAAGCUUUUCUGGCUAAUAGAAUAAACUGUAGCUACACCGAAAUCUGAAGCGUGAAAACGAAAUUUGAUUUCAGGAAGAAGAAACUACCUUUGAUAUCUGGAAUGUGAGAAAUCUUUGUCCAUUCUGGGCCACUGUCCUUGGUGCAUCUUUGUUUUAGAAGGGGACAUCCAGAAAUUUGAAGGGUUUGUAACUUGGUGAGGCGUUGCAUAGUGUUGACACUAGGUAGAUACAUCAGGUUCUUGAAAUUCCAAAUCUCUAGCCUCGUAAGGGAUGUAAGGUUGCCCAGCCACUCUGGAAAAGCCUCCAUUCCAUCGAAACAUUCUAUCCACAGAUAUGUUAGAGAAGUGAAGUAUUGAAUUUGUUCGGGCAAAGACUUAAGCUUGGGCCAACCCGUCAAUAUUAAUGUUUCAAGUUGUGAUGAUCCAGUUCCAACAUGAAAACCAGGGAAGGAAUCGAGCCCGUCCCAGAACCCACCAAGUUCCAAUUUCUUCAAACUGGUGGAGCAGUGUAGCGCUGUAGGCAGAUCUUUUAAUUUCCCACAAUUAUAAAUCUCCAACGUAGAGAGAGAUGUGAAGUUGUCUAGACUUGGAAGAGUCUCUAAAUUGGGGGCCUCCCUUAUUUUCAACUCCACAAGAGAGACUGGCAUUUGUAGCCCACUACUCACCAAACGUUCUAGUGUUUCACAAUUUUCAAUCGUCAGUCGACGGAGGGAAGGAAAGAUGUGUAAAUCUGGAAUAGAUUGUAGGCUAAUGCAAUUGACUACACACAACUCCCCAAGAGAGACAGGCAUUUGUAGCCCACUACACACCAGCCUUUCCAAUCUUUUGCAAUCUCGAAUGCUCAGUCGACGAAGGGAUGUGAAGUUUUGUAAAUCUGGAAUGGAUUGUAGAUCACUACAAUAAUGUAUAGACAACUCCACAAGAGAGAUGGGCAUUUUUGUAGACAGCCCACUCACCAAACGUUGUAAUCUGCCACAACCUAUAACCACCAGUGCACGGAGUGACGUGAAGCUAUGUAAAUCUGGAACAGAUUGUAGACUAGGGCAAUCGCAUAUAGACAAGUGUUCAAGGCUACUAAGGAUCGUACUCUGUAGAAGAUUUUCAUGGCUUAUAGAUAAAGCGGCAGCAACAGCAGCACAUUUAAAGUCAUGGUCAUUGUCAUGGAGUGAUAUUGAUGAAAUGGAUGUUACCUUUGGGCAGUUAGUGAUAUGCAACUUUCGAAGAGAAGGACAUUGUUGUAGUGCAGGCAAGCUUGAUAAUUCAUCGCAAGAUACAAUUGUCAUUUCUUGAAGACAGGUGAGGGACAUGUCGUACGUAAUUCCAAUUGAUGUGAGAUUACUGCAAUCCCAUAUCCACAAUUCCUGGAGAGAGGCACAGUACUCAAGCCCACUCAGUCGGCCUGAUAAUCCUGGACAACAUCCAAUCCUCAAUUUGCAGAGUGAUGCGAGGGUGCGCAAUUGAAUGGAUGUUAGAUUCUUGCAAUUCUCUAUACUCAUCACUUGAAGAGACGUGCAGUACUCUAACACACUCAGUAGGCCUGACAAACCUUCACAAUGUUCAAUCUUCAAUUCGCGGAGAGAUGCAAUGCCACUGUGUCUAAUUGGAAUCAACUCUAGACUAGGACACUCCUUUAUGGUCAAUCUCUCAAGCAGAGGGAGUGUGUCUAGCCCAUCAGGUAAAUGUCUCAACUGUCUACAAUUUCUUACAUCCAGCUUUCCAAGAGAUGCGCAACAACUAAACACAUCAAGGGCAAUACAAGUUAACUUGUUACAAUCUCUUAUCUCGAUAGAUAUGAGAUUAUUUCCGUUCUUCAACAAUAUCCCUUCCGGCAGACAAGUAAGCUCAUCAUUACCUUUUAUCUUCAACUUCUUCAGAAAGGGAAAAUGGCUGGGAGCCUUUCUCAAUUUGGGACAGUUAUUGAUCUCCAGCUCCUCAAGGCAAGGAAACGCCAUUACUUCUUUUGGUGCUUCCAUCCAUUCAAUCAGCUCAUUGCAAUUACGAAUACAUAAUUCCUUUAGAACAGGAAAUAAAGCCCUUUUUCUUGUACCCGAUGUAGCCACAUGAUAAACAUUGUUAUAACCAUAAAAAUCUGCUCCAACACAUUUUAGAUUAUUCAUUCCAUCAAUCCAAACAACUGUAAGAUGAGGUAGAUGGCCGAGUGUUGGGACUUCUUCACAUUUGUUGCACCCGCAUAAUACAAUCUUCUUUAAAUUGUCAAGCCAUAACGACCUACUCGUCAUCCACGAUGGAAAUUUAGCACCCAUGAAAUAUUUAAUCAUUAGGCUUUCCAACUUUGGAUGCGGUUGAAGACCUUCUAGUGCGUCCUCUUCAUUAUUGUUGGUUGUUGGCCUAUCUUUCGUCCAUACAAAUAUCAAGUGGCGUAAGUUUUUCUUCUCCUCUAGUUUAGCUUUCCCUGCUUCAUCUCUGUCCCUUACAUGUUCCAUAUUAUAAAUAAUCAAUUGACCUUUCAAUUGAUUUAAGCCAGCCAGCUCCUCAAUUUCACGGCCCAUCUCAGUAUCCACAUAAAAUGGAGGUAAUGUUCGGAGGCAACUUAAUUUCCCCAAUAUCCCAAGUGGAAAUUUCGUUCUCUCGUCCCAAUAAAUAUGUCUCAAGUUGAUCAAGUUUUCCACUUCCUUUGGAAACUCUUCAAGAGCACAGUUUGUUGCUCUUAAUGUUUGUAGGUUAUAGAGCUUGCCAAUGGAGUUUGGGAGUAUUUUGAAUCUUGUUUCGGAAAUGUCAAGAUACCUCAAAUGUUUCAACUUUCCAAUUGAAAUUGGAAGCUCCUCAAUGUUUGCCUUAAAUAAAUUCAAGACACGUAAAGCUUUAAAUCCUGCAACAUGUUACUAGGAAGUUUGCCAUCUGAAAAUAGUGAGUGCAAUCUCCCAACACUACUUUCUCGAAUGCUUUCUAGUAUGGAAGUAGAAACCAGAGCAACAUGUCGAACCUCAAGUGUAUGACCAUACUUAUCUUGUGUUGAGGUUUCGGAUUUGGAUACAAGUUCUGCAAGAUCGUGGACAAGGUCGUGCAUCUUGCAUUUGCUAAUAAUGCCAUAUUCAUCCGUUCUAGCAUCUUGAAAUAAGGAGCUCUGCAAUAGAAUAUCAAAAUAUUCAUUACCUAUAUCCUCCAUCUCUUUACUUUUGUCAGGAGAAGGGUGGAGUAAUCCUUGAGCCAUCCAAAGUUGAAUCAAAUUAUCUCUUUCAAUUUCAACAUAUUUUCUCAACACUGAGCAAUAUGUAAAACAUUGUUUCAAAGACGGUGAUUUCAAAUGAUCAUAACUCAACUUCAAGACUGGAAUGAUUCUAUCAUCUUCUUCUGGUAAGUCCCAUAUUCUACUGUCUUUGAUUGAAGACCAUUCAGCAAUACUCUUUUUAGAGAACAAAAUGCCUCCCAAAACCUAUUGCAUGACAAGUAAUGAAUACAGUAAAAUUAGCAAAAAUAACAACGAACUACUAGUAGUUUAUCAUCCGUUUGGAUCUAUACAAUAAUGCUCUCCACUAUGUGAUUUUUUUUAUUUUUUAUUUUUUAUUUUUUUUAUAAUAGGUUAGAGCUUACAUGCUAUUUUAAAGGGAGAUUCACUAUAAUACCUAAUAUAGGAGCCCAAAUUAUAAAUAAAAAAACCUAUAUGAAAUGGACCUUAGAAACACACACAAAACUCAUUUACAACAUAAUAAAAGCUUUUAACUUCUUUUAAAUUACAAAACUGCCAUUAAUUUCUUAAAACAAAUCCAACCCAAAAAUCUCAACAAAAAAAAGCCCAGAACAGUUAAUGGGGCAUCAAAGUAAUUUAAUAGUUAAGGAGGGGCAUCUGUUGGGUUUUUUUUUUAAAUCAAUUUCACCUUGUUCAUAGGAUUAUUUUUCUUGUUAUUAGUUAAGGAGGGGCAUCUGUUGGGUUCUAGAAAAUUUAACAAAUUCAUAUGUCAACAAAUUUGUUCACUAAAUUUUAUCACCUAAUCAUGUGGCAGGGUUUGAUUAAUUCAAAUAUGAGUACACUUUAAAUACUCUAGAAACCCACCUAUUUUAUUACUUCUAAAUAAAACCCAAAUUUUGAAUUAGAGGCCAUGUAAGAUCAAAAGUGUAUGCAUUUGACUAAUUUACAAAUCAUGACAUCAACCCUUUUUUGUUGCUCGGAGUUUUUCUUAAACAAUCCCUUAAUUUUAGCAUUUCAAUCAUUUGAAUUUUUGUUGGGCAUUCAAUGUAUUCAACAUCCCCGUCUCUUUCCUGUCUUUUGGGAUUGUUUACCAAUUUUUUGGCUGGAUUUUUUCAUUUGGUUGCGUUGGUGAUUUCGUUGGCGACUAUUGUGGUUUUGUUGUCUUUGGAAUCUUUGGUGACAACAAACUAGCAAUGCGCUGGUGGUUUCAUUGGCGGAUUUGGAGUCAUAAGAGGUGGUUGAGCGACUUUUAUUGGGUGUUUUUUUUUCUAUUUGUGAGAGGUUAAAAGUUAUAGUUGUUAUAUUGCUAAUUUUAAGCACUGCGGUUCAUAUCUGGCUUGUUCGAGCUUGCAUGCAUGUAUAAGGGCUCAUUUGAGAGUGCUUCUUUCCGAAGUCUUAUGCUAGUAGUGCUUAUGCCAGCAGCACUUAUGACAUAAGCGCUUUUACAAAGAAGCAGUUUGUCAUUUGGAUGUCAUAUUUAAAAGUGCUUUCCCAAAAUAUUAUAAUAAUAUAGGAAAUAAAAAUUCACCCCCAAAAUAAAAACCCGACUUUAAAAAGUUGUGAAAUGUAAAGAUAAUGAUGGAUUAAUAGAAGCUUAAGGGUUUCCAUGGGUGUUUUGUCUUCUGAUAGGUUUUGGUGUAUGUUGGCCUUUUCGCGGGUAGUGUUUUGGUUUUAAUAGGAGAGAAAAAGAGAGAAGAAAAAAAAAUGGUGUUUUGGUAUUUUCGGCAUUUUAAAAUAUUCAUUAAAGGGAGCCAAGUACUUCCCUUGUUUUUGUCCUGCAACGCUUUUAAGAAGAAGCACCUCUCAAGUGCUUCUUCUAAAACCACUCCAAGUGCUUUUGGAUCUCACCCAAAGCACUUUUGUAAUUUUUGUCAAACACCAUUUUUAAAAGACAGAAGUGCUUUCACCCAUUUAGAAGCGCUUUUCGCUGCUCCAUAAGCACUUCCAAACGAGCCCUAAAUGUUUUACAUACAAUUGGUGACUUAUUUACUCUUAAAUUCCAAGAAGUUGCAAGACCUUUUGUGUCUUUUGUCUCUUUCGGUUGGUAUGUGUUUUGUGCAGCUUUGCCUGUGAUAUGUGGUUUCAGUAUUACCUCUCUCUCUCUCUCUCUCUCUCUCUCUCUCUCUCUCUCUCUCUCUCUCAUAUGUGACAGUUUUAUGAACUUUUUCAAUUGAAUUUUAUUUUCUCACUUUUUGAUAGGUACAAUGCUAAUGAAUCCUUGUUAAAUACAAAGUGUUUAAAUUCCACCAAAUACAUUUAAACAUAACGAGAGCAUUAGGAGGAAAGAAAUCAAUACAAUAAAUAGAGGAACUUUAAUAAGGGUAUUUUUGGAAUCCAAAAAGUAUAAUAAAUCAUAUUUUAAACUAAAUUGGGUGACUUGAUAAGUUUCCUAGUCGUCGGGUUUUAGUUAUAAAAAUUGGGUUUUAGUUGUAGAAAAAUAAGGUGAUAGUUAUAAAAAUUGGGUUUUAGUUGUAGAAAAAUAAGGUGAUAUGCUGCAUGUUGGAAAAAAUUAGUUUGAAGAGGAAAAGCCAAAUUUACUAUUAUUUCUAACAAGUAUGACAUUGACAUGUGGAGGUAGAACCAAUGACUUAUAUUUAGGGGGUAAAUAUACAUGUGUAUUCUCGAAACUUUCCAAAUCGCUACAUAAAUUGGUAAACUUCUUUGAAGAAAUGAAGAUAGUCCUAUGGAGGUCUUGGAGCCUAAGCAGGCACGGACCCAGCCCUGUCUAGGUAGGGCUGAAGCCCGACCCAAAUGUUAGAAUAUUUUAUUAAACCUAGGUAGCAUAGUUUAGCACUUCUAGGAGUCGUUUAGUACGGCGGAUUGUCAUGGAUUGGACUAAAUCCUGGGACUGUCUUUGAUUAGUUCGGAUUGGACUAAGCUGGAUUAAGUAUUGACUUACGUUUAGUGCUACGUCGGACUAAGAAGCUGGAUUGUAAAAGUAGUGAAGACCUAUGUUUGGUGUUGUGCCAGACUAAAAAUAAUUAUUUUAAUAUUGAACUUAAAGAAGUGCCGCACCAAACGUGGGUUAGAGGUGUUAUUUAAGCUAGUCCAAUCUAAAGAGGCGUACCAAACAGACCCCUAAAGGGCAAAAGUUGCUCAACCACUAUUCCUUACUCAGUCUAGUUGUAUUAUCCAAGACAAAAGAAAAAAACUAAACAAAAAAACAAAAAACGAAGACUCUCUCCUCCUCCCUCUUGUCAAGCUUGUGACUCUCCAGCCCAACUCUCUUCAUUUCUCUUCUUUUCUUUUCUUUUUUUCCUACACUCUUCUUUUUUUUUUUUUCUUGUGACUUAUACUCUUAUUUUUCUUGUGAUUUUUCCUAAAUUUUAAUUCAGGGAUUUAAAAAUUAUAGGUUUUUGCUUCUUAUAAAAAUAAAAAAUAAAAAAUUAGAGGUUUUUAAAAAAUGAUGUAAUCUAGAGAUCAAUGGGUGAUACUAUUGAGUAAGUUGUUUGUUUUUAAUAAAAACUGUGUUAUUUUUAAGUUAUUAGUAUCUACAAUUUACUAAUAGAUAUGCUUGUUAUAUACCGUUGGGAAAUAACAAGCAUAUCAAUAACAAGAGUUCCACAUCCUGCCAUGCACCAAUAAAUUAGCACCUUCUGCCAUGCCAAGAGUCCCACAUCAACCAAAUCACGAAGGUUCCCACACCAUUUUGCCUAUAAAUGAAAUUUCGCAGUGUGUUGUUACUUUGUCGAAUUACUUCGUCAUCACAUCAUACUUGUGGUACCUUAGGCAUCGGAGUGCCUAAUGCCAAUUUCAUCGGAGUGCCUUAUGCCAUUAUCACUAAAAACAAUGCUCCCUACGUUGAUUCCAUUUUCAGAUAUCAACAAUAUUUUCUUUAUUCACACCUAAAUUUGAGAAAUUACUAUAUCACUUGUCCAACAUGUGACUGUUUUCAACUUUUAUUUUCAUAUUUGGGGCUUAUUCUUUUAGCUUGUUUAGAUUUUUAUUAUUUACUAUUACACUUGUUCUUUUAUAGACUUAAUUAAAUCGUACACAUCAAUUUCCUUUCUACGAUUUGAGUAACACUUCAAAACAAAUUAGAAAAUAUCAUAUCUAACAAAUACGAUUUGGAGUUUUUAAUGGAAUUAGUUUGUUUUGGUCGAGAUUUUAAUCCUUUGUACCCUAAGCAAUCCAAUCGAAUUAAGGAAAAAUACACCACAAAUCAAUUUCAAUUGGAUUGGAUCAGUUAGUUGCCGUAAGAUUUGCACCCUACUUAUAGGUUGGAAAUAAUUUAUAAAUAGUAAAACAUGAAUCAUAAGAAGCAUGUGUAAAUUCAAUGUUAUAACAUAAUAGUACGUACGUACCUUUGCCAUCAAUGGCACACCAGCACAAUUUUCAGCAAUCUCCUUUCCAAUUUUUUCUAAAUCGGGAUCCAUAGGAACUCUACUAUCUACAAAAGCUCUAUCUUUUAAUAUGGACCAACACUCAUCUGUUGAUAGAUUAGCCAAAUUAUGCCGCGGAAGUAGUUUUUCUGAGAUUGAUGCAACUUUGGCACUGCGUGUAGUGACAAUAAUAUUGCUUCCUCUAACAGAAUUGAGUUUUGCCAAAUAACUCAUCAAAUUGUUCCAUUUUCUUGGAUCUUCAUUCCAAACAUCGUCAAGUACAAGCAAGUAUCUUUUCUCUUUCAGCUCUUCUUGAAGAUAUUUCAGCAGUGCAUCUACAUUUUCUCUUACAGUGGCUUUUGUUGGGUUAAGAGAUUCUAACAUGCAUAUCAAAAUCACAUUGAUGUUAAACGGAUCAGACACACAUACCCAUAUCUUUUUAUCAAAAUACCUGUCUAUAGACUGCUCAUUGUAUACUGACUUGGCCAAAGUUGUCUUUCCCAGGCCUGCCAUUCCCACAAUGGCUGUAACAUAUAGAUUUUCUUGAUUGUUGUUGGAGUUUGUCAAGGUUGUAACUAUACUUGACAAAGCCUUCUCCCUUCCAACGAUCAUUCCAUCUUUUUCAGGGAGUGAGUCAGUUUGUAUGCUUCCUCUAAUUCCUUGAGAGGCUGCAUCUACUUUCCUGGACACUAGUCCAAUGACAGAUGCUUCACUCUUGAGAUCCGCCAAGGAUGCAUUGAUCUUCUGGAUUUUAUGUGCCAUUUUAAAACUAAAUGCAACCGGACUGGAGAGUGAAAAGAAGUUGAGUACCUUUUUCUUCAUAUGAUUUUGGAGUUCUACUUUGCGACGCAGAAGUUCAUAGUUGAUUUCAUCCAAGACAUCGUCUGCAUCUUGAGCUACGCCUUUAAGAUUCGUCACCCAAUCUUCAAUGGACUUGCCCCGACCUUGUGGUUGGUGGACAACGUCACCUAAGUAACCUUCAACGGUGGACAGUGUUUUGCGAAGCCUUUCUAGUUCAGCUCUAAAUCCCCAGGCAAGACUGAUUUCUUGAGCAGCAAGAGAAAUCACCUUCGUCAGUAUUCCCUCGGCUAAUGUAAGCACAGCUUCGGCCAUCUUAGUUUCCUUCUGUAACUGCGCAGGACGAACAGCAGAUCAUAUUAAUGCUUAAUUAUUAUUAGUUAAUUAAGAAACUAUAACAAGGUUGAAGACCGAUGGAGACGCACAGUUGCAGUAGCAAGGAGAUGAUGAUUGCAGAGUUGCAGUAGCAAAAGGAGAGAAAUGCAAAAAAGGAAAAGAAAAACAUAAAAGAAGGGAAAGAAAGAAAAAUGCAGAUCAGAGUAGACUUAAAAAGUCUUGCUGGGCUCUACACUUAUUUUCCACACAUCAAAUCUUUUCAUAUCUGCCACACACUUGGAUAUUUGUGAAGAGAUAGGUAGCGCACACCUUUCUCACCAAAUAUUACAUUAAAGUUUCUGAAAAAAAAACAAUUUCAUUUUAAAAUAGAAAAACAAAUUUGUGUUGUAAAUUAUAAUGGUGGAGCCCACAUGUUGGAAGGCUUUGCCUACAAAUAGAACACAUCCCUCCUGUAAUAUACAUACUGAUAUACAGAAGGCAGAGAACAACAAUUCUCUGCUCCGAUAUUCUCUCCUCAAUUCUUCAGUUUAUAACACGUUAUCAGCACGAUUUCGCUCAAACAUACUGAUAUACAGAAGGCAGAGAACAACAAUUCUCUGCUCCGAUAUUCUCUCCUCAAUUCUUCAGCUUAUAACACGUUAUCAGCACGAUGAAUUUACCCUCAUACUUUAUGAAUUUACUUUACCGCACAUUUAAUUUUAUUUAAGAUAUGGUGCGGAAUUAACGUCCAUAUAGCAAAGUAAUUUAUUUUAUCGCACAUUUACUUUUACUUAAAGUAUGAUGAGGAAUUAACCCUCAUACUUUAUGAAUUUACUUUACCGCAUAUUUACUUUUACUUAAAGUAUGAUGAGGAAUUAACCCUCAUACUUUAUGAAUUUACUUUACCGCACAUUUACAUUUAUUUAAAGUGUGGUGCGGAUUUAUCGUCCAUACCAGUAAUUUAUUUACCAGCAAUUUAUUUUAUGGAUUAAAUGUGCUGUAUGAUGAGUUUUUUACAGUAUGCAGAUCAGGACUAGAAGUUCCUUGAUCCUCAUCAUACAAUUACAUCAGGACUUGAAGAUCCUUGAUAAUGAUGUUAAAAUGAGAGCUGGCAGUCUCUCCGGUACUAUAUUUGUAAACAUGUGAUUGUACUUGAGGGUCCUUGAUCCUUGACAUGUAAAUAAGGACCUGGGGUUCCUUAAUAAUGUAACAGUACCGUAUUGGUUCAUAAUGCCAUACACAUGGAUGAUAACUGUACUGGCAAAUGUACUGUACACAUGAAUAGAACCGGAUAUAUGAAUAGUGACGUAUACAUAAAUAUUAACCAUUUUGGGUAAACCGUCACUAUAUACAAAAGGGAACCUGUAGUUCCUUAAACUCAUGGAUGAGCAAUUAAAUGAGAUGCCAGAAGUUCCUCAAGAUAUGGACAAUUAUGUAAGGACUUGAAGUCCAGAAAUAUGUACAGAAAAUUGUAAAAAUGUCCAUACCAUGAGAAUAUGUGAUUUUGGCUUAAGAUUCAAAAUCUAACAGUGUUGAGAACCUGAAGUUCCAACAAUUAAAUGGACAACCCAGGUAUUAUUGUAAAUUGUGGUACGCCACAUAUUUCUUUGGCAUAAGAGAAUAAUGAAUUGAGGCUCCCCACAUAUUUUGUUAUAUCUGAGCCGGAAGCUCAUGAACCCAAAUAUAUGAGAUAUUAGCGUGGCUUUUACUCAAUCCAUAUUUCAUGUUCAUUUGAAAAGGGCAAAUGAAUUCUGAGUUUGUGUUUAUCACAGGCCAAAAGUUCCAUACAUUGAAAUAUGAAAUUUGGGAGAGUCGAUGUGGUUACUUGAACCUAUAAGGCACAAGGUUCCAAACCGUCAUUUUAAAAAGACGUAAAAAAAAAAAAAAAAAAACCACAGGUGCAAGUUUAAGAAUGUGCGCAAUUAUUAUAACAGGAACAUACAAAUAGAUUUUUUCCUGCAAUGAAGGUGCAGGCCCUGUAAAAUCUAUAAAAAUACAUUAUGUUCCGGAAGCCUCUGAAGGAAGAGGACGACGCCUCUUAAGCUUAGCCAUGAGCCUCUCAUGGUCUCCCAAAAUUCUUUCAUUGGAGACCUGCAGCAUGUCUAGCCUUCUCAGUGUAUCAACAGAGUACGAACUCACCAGUUUCAACAAGGCAUUAUUCUCUCCUUUAAGUUUCUCAACCUCCUGUUGAGACUCAUGAAGCAUUCUUUGGAGAGACGAAUUUUCAGUUGUUAAAUUCUCAACCUCGCUUGCUCUGGCAUGCAAACGAUCAGCCAUGUUAGAAACAGAAGCAGCACUCUGAAUGCUAAAAGCCAUUGAGUCAUUAAUAGCAUCUUCCUCUGAUCUCCCUGUCAACAACAUUUCAUCCAUUGGAGUAAUGAAAUUCCUAGCUAUUAUGACAGCAGUAGCAUCAUUCAUCAUCACAGAAUCAUUAACUGUGAGAUGACGAUUUUUGGAUACAAAGGAUGGACGCCAAACUUGGGCGUCACUGGUUGUUGUGGGAGUAUCAUUUAAAUUGAAAUAAUUUGGGUAGGAAGAAGAGGAAGCCAUUUUUAAGAAGGUUUCGAAGAAAGCCUUAAGAAAACUAAAGUUUCAGAAAAUGAAGGAGGUUAAGUUUGAAACGCAGUUGCUCCAAAUCAAGUUUUGCAAAGGCAAUAUCUAUAGGAAGAAAUAUGGCUACAGUUUUUUCAGGAUCCCAAUAUCUUUUCGAAUCCCCAUAUUUUCUUUUUCUUUCCCAGAUUCCAAAACUUCACGUGGCCUCCAUUAAUGUUUGUCGGCACUUUCGGCGUUUUUAAAGUAUUAUUUUUCGUCAAAAGCCAAUCUUGCUUUGCGAAUUUCACGGAGCUACUUUUUCAAAAGCACCCCGAGAAUCUCGCAAUUUUCCUAUGGUUAAUUUGAAAUUCACCAGUUCUACCUAUUCAUUGUAUUUGUGUAUAAAUGUGUUAUUAACGAAAUUUUCUUUGCAGAAGACAUCCAGUUUACUCCAUACAUAGUGAUGCGAUAUCUACUUAUUUUUCUUAUCAGUGAGCACUCAAUGUGCCCGAGAAGCAAGACUAUCUCUGAUCAUCCAUUCAGAAAGCGAGACUAUCCCUGAUCACGUUUCCGCCACAUCCGGGAACUGUGAAGGCAACCUUAUGCUCUAAUCUCCGGAAGUUCUUCUAAACUAGAAGAAAUGAGAGCUUGUUGUUUGCUCCCACCAGCUUCCUUCCUUGAUUGCUGAGCUUGUUGUCUGCUCCCACCAGCUUUCUUCCUUGAUUGCUUACCUUCUCUUGCAAUCCAUAUCACAAUUUUUUUGCAUUUUUUCUCUUUUUUGUAACUCUGAGGGUUAUUUGUUUUUGACAGAGAAAAGAGUUGUGAUUUUGCUCUUGCAGGAUAUAACUAGAUCAUCAAGCGCUACAUUAUAUUUACUGGGCCGAUACGAGCUUGAAUGAUACUUGAGAAAAAUUUCUCCCACCUAAGGAUGUAAGCAAUAUUUGUGUUAUUAAAUGCUUAUAUACUUAUUUGAUAUUUUAUCUUGAAAGGUAACCAAAUGGGGAGAUAAGUCUGUUCCAAAAGAAUGGCUUGUAUAUAUCCAUGAAUUAUUAAUGCAAAUUUUACAGAUUGCAAGUUGGAUACAUUGAUAAUACACUGCACAGAUUAAAAGUCCCAUAAGAACAGAAUAUGGGUAUAGCAGUGAUCAAUAUGAUGCACGCCUGUUGCGUAGCAAAUGAUGUGGAUUGAAGUCCCGAAAGGACAAUCCUUUGACAUGUCAAUAUUGAUAUUAUGCACGCCUAAUGCGUAGCAAAUUAAAUGGGUUAAAGUCCCAUAAUAUGGGUUAAGGUCCCAGAUAUUAAUUGACAUGUAUGUAUUAAUCUGUGGCAUGCCUGCAGCAUGACAGAUAUAUGAGUUCUAAAUGUUCCAACUCCCUAAAUGGAGAUUAUCCACGCCCUACUGCUAAAUAACGCACUAAUGGAGGUUAUAAUCCACAUUCUCACAUAAUAAAAGCCCCAUGAAGUGGCUUGGGUACCCAAAAGCAAAGAAAUGCUUAUAAUUGAUGCAUGCGCAUGCACAUGAGAAUUGUGAGAUCAUGAAUUGAUGAAUGACAAUUUUUGGUUUUGGAGUAGCUGCUCAAAUCAUCAAUGGGCUGUGUUGAUUGGAACCACGUUCAAUUAUUAAAUGUCGACAAUAUCAUUGGCCAAAAUGGAACGAGGUAAUUCCAUUAUAAAUGAGAAUGAACGUGAAAGAACAAACCCACAGUACGAACCCCAAAAUUUGUUAAUACUGAAAGUUAUACUUGGGUGUUCGGAAUAAAAGGGAAUAUACCUACUUUGUAUGACACACUGUUUCUGGCAGAAACAAGGAAUGUUGGGUUUUCUCCAUAUUUACAGAUUCAAUUGUGUCCCCCCCCCCCCCCCCCCUUUAUUACACAAUUACGGAGACCAACAUAUUAUCUUUAAGGGUUAUUAAAUGCACGGAGCAUAUCGCCAGAAGCGAUUUCCUAAAGAUGUAUAAAUAGCUGGGUUAAAGCUAUAUAAUGUGUCAUAAAGUUUAAUCCCUUUUAAACAAAAUCCGUUGAAAGGAUUGACAUUGUAUAAAGCAAGUCCCUAAAGGACAUGUGCUUGAAGCACAAAAUUUGUACUCAAUAUUAAUAUGCAUAAAUUACCUCAGUGAGUACAUUGAUUAUAAUGUGAUUGCAACACAUUAAAGCUUCUGCAGAAUUCAUGAAAUAUUUGUCUCGAUCGAGCAUUAUACCAACGAGAUUCUUGCUUAUACUAAGAGAGUCUUAUCUGUUGGUCCUUAAAUGUUUUUCCGGAAGUAUACUAGACCAGAUAGAGCUCAGCUCCACACUGUACUCUUUUCCCUUCAUCCAGGUUUUUAUCCCAUUGGGUUUUUCCUGGUAAGGUUUUAACGAGGCAGUGUCGCUCAAGGGUUUAGGGUAUACUAUGAAAAUUUUUAUAGUCGCUUACUGGACAAAAACUAGUCCUAAAUUUUUCAAGGGGAGAUAUUCAUCAGGGGGAGCAUGGUUUUAAUAAAGACCUUCAUACACUGUACUCUUUUUCCUUCAUCCAGGUUUUUAUCCCACUGGGUUUUUCCUGGUAAGGUUUUAACGAGGCAGUGUCGCUCAAGAUUGACUCACAGAAGCAGUGUCAACUACGAUAUUCAGAAAGCUGAUCAACAGUAUGACUUAAAGAUAUUUUGCCAAGCAUCAGGGGGGAGCGCGCUAUCAAUAAAGAUCUUCAAACACCGUACUCUUUUUCCUUCGUCCAGGUUUUUAUCCCACUGAGUUUUUCCUGGCAAGGUUUUAACGAGGCAGUGUCGCACGCGCGUCAAUAUACAUAGAAUUUUAUGUUACACAUGAUUAUGUACUCUUUUUCCCUUUGACCAGUUUUUGUCCCACUGGGUUUUUACUGGCAAGGUUUUUAACGAGACAUAUUUCAUAUCAUUUGUGGUCUCCAAGGGGGAGUGUUGUAAAUUAUAAUGGUGGAGCCCACAUGUUGGAAGGCUUUGCCUACAAAUAGAACACAUCCCUCCUGUAAUAUACAUACUGAUAUACAGAAGGCAGAGAACAACAAUUCUCUGCUCCGAUAUUCUCUCCUCAAUUCUUCAGUUUAUAACAAUUUGCACCUUAAAAUAAAAGCAAACACAAAUUACAGCCCAGAAAGAAGCUUACAAUUGACCCUUGGAAUAUGAGAAAUCUUGGGCUACUCGGGCGUCUCUUCUUGUUGAGGUGUUCUACAGUUUCCAAUGUGCAGCUAGAUACUUCAGAUAUCCAUAACUACAAAUACAAAUACACAGUUUUUCAAUACAUGAAAGGUAGGUUCGUCAACUUCUCGGGUAAACCCUCCAAUCCAUUGAGAAAGGAACAUGACAAUUUGUAGCAUAUUUCAUGAUAGAACAGAUUUUUCCACCAGGGGUUCGAGCGAGAAAAACGAGUUGCAAGAUUCCAGCCAGGACGAAAGGGAGGUUCAACCUCUUAAAUGUUUUCCAAUUUGCCUUUGAAAGUUAGUACAUUUUGUUGAUGUGUAACCCUUAAGCUGAAAAUCUUGGAGCCAAAGUCACAAAGUCUGUUUUGAUUUCUUUUUUUUUAUAAGUUUUUAUUUUCCUGAUGUAAUCUGAGCCAUUGGAUCAUAGUCCUAGUGGUCUCACUUUCUAGCCUAAGACUUUAGUGCCAGCUAGUGACAAAUGUAAGCAUCUCAUAGGAUGAUAGAAGCAAUGGCUAGGAUUUAAUCUCUGUGAAAAUCUGUUAGAGAAGUAGCUCACUUCUCUCUCUUAUACGAAUACAUAUGAACAGUGAAAUGAAAUGAAAAGUUAUCUCCAGCUUUCUUUUCAGAGCAACGUUCUUCUCUACAUUUGCUUACUGUGAUUUCUUUCUUCCUCCCAAAUAUCCAAAAUAUUCAAAACUAAUUACUGAAACUAUGAAUUCUAACAUGGCCUCAGAGCCAGGUUCGAUUGCUUGAGCUGGGCGUGAAUUUGUGAACAGGGAGUCAGAAUCGAUUCGAGCUGGGUCUGAGCUUCUUCGACGAUCGCAGCUGUGAUUUCUUGAAUCCAAUGUCUAAUAUGGAAGGAUCGAGCACUACUGAGCUUCGCACACCAGUUGUCAAUGGAGAAAACUAUGACUUUUGGAGCAUUCGGAUGAAAACCAUUCUGAAAUCUCAUGGAUUGUGGGAUUUGGUUGAACAUGGUUUCGAUGCUUCAGAUCCAAAGAAGGAGAAGGAGGUAGAAGAGACUAAGGUUGCUGAGAAGUCUACGAUGGCUGAGCUUCUGAUGAAGGACGCUCGUGCACUUGGGUUGAUCCAAAGUGCUCUCUCAUAUCAGCUCUUCCCCAGAAUUGUGAACGAGGAGACCUCAAAGGGUGCUUGGGAUAUUCUGAAGCUGGAAUUCCGAGGAGAUAAACAGGUAUGAAAUGUAAAAUUGCAAGGAUUGCGUAGAGAAUUUGAAUAUACUCGCAUGAAAGACAGUGAAUCCCUAUUUGUAUAUCUUGCUAGAUUGUUUGAUAUAUUGAAUCAAAUGAAGAGUUAUGGUGAGGAAAUAUCUAGAGAGAGAGCUGUGCAGAAAUUAUUGUUUAGUUUUCCAAAAUCAUAUGAUUCUAUCUGCUCUGUGAUUGAACAUUCUAAGGAUCUUGAGACUCUUGAAAUUCAAGAGGUGGUUGUUUCUCUGAAGAACUUUGAGCUCAGAUUGGAUCGACACACUGAGAACUCUACAAAAAGGGCCUUUACUAGUCUGAAUAUUGAGGAAAAAAAUCCUAAGAGUGGAGUUUCUUCUGGAGAUCAAAAAUCUCAGAAGAAUUGGAAAUCCAACGAAGGGAACAAAACGGCUUGUAAACACUAUGAGAAAUUGCAUUUUGGCAAAUGUUGGUUUGAAGGGAAACCUAAAUGCAAAGGGUGUGGGAAAUUUGGACAUAUGCUCAGAGAGUGUCAUGGAAAUAAAAAUGUACAGAAAUUAAACUAUGCAAAUCAAGUUAAAGAAACUGGAACCUUGUUCUAUGCAUGCAAUGCUGUGACAGAUGUGAAGGUAAAUCACUCUUGGUACAUUGACACUAGUUGUAGUAACCACAUGACAGGUGAUGAGAGUCUGUUAGCCAAUAUUCAAAGGAAUUUGACUUCUAAAGUAAAGAUGGGUACUGGAGAAAUAGUUCCGGUUGCAGAAAAAGGGACUCUUGUGAUAGAAACCAAGUUGGGUAGGAAGCACAUUCAAGAAGUGAUGCUUGUACCGGGUCUUGAAGAAAAUCUGCUUAGUGUUGGACAAAUGAUGGAGCAUGGGUACUAUCUUGUGUUUGGAGGGGAUGUGGUGAACAUUUAUGAUGAUCGGUCACUAGACCAUCUGAUUAUUCGAGUUCAAAUGACAAAUAACACAUGUUUUCCUCUUACAAUGAUGCGUGCAAGUGAUUUGGCCUUAAAGGCAAGUGUUACACACUGCUUGCAGACAUGGCACAAGAGAUUGGGGCACUUAAAUGAAAGAAGCAUAAUAAUGUUUGAGAAUCAAGACAUGGUUCAUGGCUUACCUCACUUGGAGCAGAUUUCAGUAGUGUGUGAAGGCUGCAUGCUAGGAAAGCAACACAGAGAUUCCUUCCCAUUGGAGUCCACUUGGAGAGCUACAUGUCCUUUGGAAUUGGUUCACACAGAUAUCUAUGGACCAAUGCAGACUGAAUCCAUUUCGGGAAACAAGUAUUUUCUGCUAUUUACAGAUGAUUGCACUAGAAUGUCUUGGGUGUAUUUCAUCAUAAACAAGUCAAGCACAUUUGAAUGUUUUAAAAAGUUCAAGGCUAUGACUGAGCUGCAAAGUGGAUAUAAGAUAAAAGGUUUGAGAAGUGAUAGGGGUGGAGAGUUUUUAUCAAGCAAAUUUAAUAAGUACUGUGAAGAGUUUGGAAUUCAAAGGCAGCUAACCGUGGCAUACUCUCCUCAGCAAAAUGGAGUAGCCGAGAGAAAGAACAAAACAGUGGUGGAAAUGGCAAAAUCCAUGCUGUAUGAGAAGGGUAUAUUCCCUAUGAGUUUUGGGCAGAGGCUGUAAACACUGUAGUUGAUCUACUAAAUAGAUGUCCCUCUAAGUCUCUCAAGAAGGUAACACCAUUUUAAGCUUAUACUGGCAGAAAACCAGGUAUUGCACACUUGAAGAUUUUUAGAUCUCCUUGCCAUGUGCACAUCCCUUCAGCACUCAGACAUAAACUUGAAGAAAACAGCCACAAGUGUAUCUUUGUGGGUUACGGAAUCUGUGAAAAAGGGUACAGAUUAUUUGAUCCAAAAUAUAGAAAGAUUAUUCUGUCUAGAGAUGUGCAUUUUGAAGAAGAUGCUUCAUGGAAGUGGGAGAACACUGAUAAAAGUGAAAUGAGAGUUCCAAUGGCAGCUGAGAGUCAAAUGGCAGAUUGUGGUGAAAGACAUAAGCAAGUUGAAGUCUGUGAACCAAGUCAAAUCUUAGAUACAUCAAUUCAAGCGGACGGAGGUAUGACACUACAAGAUGAGGAAAUGCUUGAAGGCUCGCAAGCUAUUGACCACACACCAAAGAAAUAGAAAAGUAUCAACGAGAUCAUGGCUCAAUGUAAUAUGUGCAUAAUGGAACUUGAGAAUUUUGAAGAGGCUGAUCUAGAUGAGUCAUGGAGAAAGGCAAUGGAAGCUGAGUUGGAAAUGAUAGAGAAGAAUAAUACUUGGCAGCUUGUUGAGAGACCGUUUAAUAAACUUGUCAUUGGUGUCAAGUGGGUCUAUAAGACCAAACUUGAUCUAGAUGGUACUGUGCAAAAAAAUAAAGCUCGAUUGGUGGCUAAAGGCUACUCACAAAAGCCUGGGAUUUAUUACAAUAAAACAUUUGCCCCAGUGGCAAGGUUAGACACCAUUAGAACCUUGAUUGCUCUAGCUGCACAAAAGAAAUGGAACUUGUAUCAGCUGGAUGUUAAGUCUGCGUUCCUCAAUGGAGUAUUAAAAGAAGAAGUGUAUGUUGAUCAACCACAAGGUUUUGUGAAAUAAAAUGAAGAAACAAAGGUGUACAAACUGCACAAGGCACUGUAUGGAUUGAAACAAGCACCAAGGGCCUAGUAUGAUGAAAUUGAUGCAUAUUACAACAGUGCUGGUUUCAAGAAAAGUUCAAGUUAAGCAACUUUGUAUGUUAAAACAAGUGAGAAUUCAAAUAUUAUUAUUGUCUCCCUAUAUGUAGAUGAUAUUGUAUAUACUGGUAAUAGUCCACAAAUGCUUGAAGAAUUUAGAAAAGACAUGAUGAAGCACUAUGAGAUGAUAGAUUUGGGAUUGUUACACCACUUUCUUGGAAUGGGAAUAUUACAAACCGAGAAGAGAAUUUUUAUACACCAAAAGAAGUAUGCACAGAAGUUGAUUGAGAAGUUUGGAUUAAAAGAUUGCAAAGCGGUAGCUACUCCACUUGCAAUGAAUGAGAAAUUGAGCAAGAUUGAUGGAAGUGAAGCUGCAAAUAAAGGAGAAUACAAACAGAUUGUGGGAAGCUUGCUCUAUUUGAUAGCAACUAGACCUGAUGUGAUGUUUGUAGCAAGUCUCUUGGCAAGGUUCAUGCAUAAUCCUACCAAGAAACACCUGGGGGCAGCAAAGAGAGUGCUGAGAUACAUUGAAGGAACACUUGAUUUUGGAAUUGAAUUUUAUAAAAGAGAAGACAACUACUCUAAUCGGUUAUUGUGAUAGUGACUGGGCAGGAAGUGAAGAUGAUAUGAGGAGCACUUCAGGGUAUGCGUUUACUCUAGGAUCUGGUGUGUUUUCAUGGGCAUCGAUUAAGCAAAACACAGUGGCAUUGUCCACUGCGUGAGGUUCGUACUUGAGGACUUUGGAGAAGAACAAGUUGAAGGAACUCAAAUCAUGUGUGAUAACACAUCAGCCAUAGCAAUGGCAAAGAAUCCAGUUCUCCACCAGAAAACUAGACAUAUCAGUCGAAAGUUUCACUUCAUUAGAGAAGCUAUUCAAGCAAAGGAGAUUGAACUUAUCUACUGCAAAACAAAAGAUCAGAUUGCAAAUAUAUUAACCAAGGCUCUGUCUAAGGAUCGAUUUGUGUAUUUAAGAGAACUACUUGUGUGAUAUUAGCUGAACGGUUAGAAGGGAGUGUUGAUGUGUAACCCUUAAGCUGAAAACCUUGGAGCCAAAGUCACAAAGUCUGUUUUGAUUUCUUUUUUUUUUAUAAGUUUUUAUUUUCCUGAUAUAAUCUGAGCCAUUGGAUCAUAGUCCAAGUGAUCUCUCUUUCUAGCCUAAGACUUUAGUGCCAGCUAGUGACAAAUGUAAGCAUCUCAUAGGAUGAUAGAUGCAAUGGCUAGGAUUUAAUCUCUGUGAAAAUCUGUUAGAGAAGUAGCUCACUUCUCUCUUAUACGAAUACAUAUGAACAGUGAAAUGAAAUGAAAAGUUAUCUCCAGCUUUCUUUUCAAAGCAACGUUCUCCUCUACAUUUGCUUGCUGUGAUUCCUUUCUUCCUCCCAAAUAUCCAAAAUAUUCAAAACUAAUUACUGAAACUAUGAAUUCUAACACAUCUCCCCUUGCCCACAAAAAAAAGAAAAACAGUUAGCACAUUUCCCUGCACCUAGGCAUUUCAAUCCAAAUCAUAACUUCGCCUCUCUCAUCCAUGCCCCUCUCACUCUAUCAGCUCGCCUCAAAACCCCAAAAGGCAAAAACAAAAAUACCACUUUCAAUUCUAGAAAAAGAAAAAAAGAACAUAACAUUUGUUCAUGCAAAAAGUACUUGAUUCCAUACCGCAACGGUUGAAAAGUACUAGAUUCGGGCCACACAAGGUUCAAAGCAAGAUUUGUUGAGACGGAAACAAGGUGUAUGGCACGAUGCAGGCAUGAGUUUCUACCUUAAUCCCAACUCUGCCUCUAGGUCAAAUAUAACACCAAAACAACUUGGCAAAAAAUAUACAAAAUAAAUUCCAACUUCCAACAUAUCAUCUAUAAAUUGUAACAGAAGAUUGUUUUACCUGAUUCCUGUGAUACUGCAGGUACUCAAAAGUCCAUUAAGAAAGACUUGGUAAAUACUCUAGGAACAGGGGAGGGGGCCUCUCUGCUCUCAUUGAACAAGAAAAAUGACAACGGUUCAACACUUUCAAGAUUCAAAUUAAAUUCCACACUACUAAUCGAGAAAAUGUCCAUGAUCCCACAUGAAAUCCCGUAUGUUUCAAAUUACUUGAAGGUUAUAUCAAUUACAGACAAGAAAUGGGUUGACAUGCCAACCAACAAAAGUUAUACACACAUUCCGGAAUUAGAGAACAGGGUAUGUUCCAGUACCUUGGAGAUGAUGAAUAUGCUAACAAAUGAAGGUUCAAAAUCUGAAAAGUCCUGCAUGUUUGCAUCAACUACAUGGUACAACAGAGAGGGCAUUCCUUCAUUUCCUUCUUCUUUGUUCUGUUUCAAUUAAGUUGUUACGACGCAAAUAAAAUCCUCUCUACAUCAAUAUCUCUCUACCCACCCCCUCAGGCCCUGAAAAGAAAAGGUGAAAAUGCUCAGCCUUAUCAACUUCAUAUAACAGAAAUACUGAAAUUAACAAUGGUGAUAAAGAAUAUUUACUCAGACUAGACACAUUACCUCUAAACAAGUGGGGAUAAAGAAUCCACAAAUACCGAGAAGCAUUGCCUUGCAAUGAAAGGGUACCUGCUCAAUGACAAACGGCAUGCCUAAGAAAAUAUUUAUAUGCAUAAAUAAAUUACCAAUCAUGGAGUGAUAAAUACCCAACAAACUAUUGUAAUUUCACUCUCCGAAAGCUUUUUAUGUAAUAAACCCAACAAACUAUUGAGUUGAAUUGUAUUUUGAAUAUAUCCUUAAUAUAAUUGGAAUAGAAUCCAGUGGUGAGACGACCAAUGCUGAAUAAACUCCUGAACAACAUAUAUUACUGAAACAAUAGUAGCAAUAUUAUCAAAAAUUAAGUAGCCAAAAACCUCUCUAGGUACUCGCAGCGAUAAACUAUGCUAAUAUAAUUAAGAUUGAAGAGUUUAAGAUAAAUCUGGAUGCAGCUAAGAGAAAUUACUAAAUCUUGUUUACUUGAUACUUUCCGCAAUUCUUUAUAAUAUCAGCAAUUAAAAAACAUCUUAAGGCUUCCUUUCAAGUCUUUCCCCGUAAAAGAGAAGAUUAUAUUCGAAAUAAGAGACGGGCCCAUUAGAAGACAAGUGGAAGUGGGAGUUUGAAAACCUUACAUUUCUUCAUUGCGAAAGUCGGAGAUAUUAUGAAUUCAUUGUUCAAUAUUGAUCAGUCUUACGAAAUCAUUUACCUGAAAAAGGAAAAGGAUAAACAAGUCUUAUUCCUUUGAGAAAUUAUUCAUAAUGAAUAAACUCUAGUUAAACCGAAAGGUGCAGAAUGAAAAGGAAAUUUGAUUUCAGGAAAGAAGAAAUUACCGGUGAUAUAUGGAAUGUGAGAAAUCUUAGGCCAUUCUGGGCCGCUGUCCUCGGUGCAUCUUUCCUUCAAAAGGGGACAUCCAGAAAUUCCUAGGAUUUGUAAUUUGGUGAGGCGUUGCAUAGCUGUGACACUAGGUAGAUACAUCAGCUUCUUGCAUCUCCAAAUCUGUAGCGUCCCAAGGGAUGUAAGGUUACCCAACCAAUCCUCAAGAGCCUCCACUCCAUCGAAACCCUCUAUCCACAAAUAUGUUAGAGAAGUGAGGUGUUGAAUUUGUUGAGGCAGAGACUUGAGCUUGGGCCACCCCAACAACUCUAAUCUUUGAAGUUGUGAUGAUCCAAGAUGGAAAUCAGGGAAGGAAUCGAGCUCUUCCCAGAUCACACCAAGUUCCAAUGUCUUCAAACUGGAGCAGCAGUGUAGCCCUAUGGGCAGAUAUUUUAAUUUCCCACAAUUCACAAUCACCAACUCAGAGAGAGAUGUGAGGUUGUCUAAACUUGGAAGACUCUCUAAAUUAGGGGCAUCUCUUAUUUCCAAGUGCACAAGAGAGGCAGGCAGUUGUAGACCACUACUCACCAAACUUUCUAACCUCCAAUACCUUUUAAUGAUUAGUUUACCGAGAGAUGUGAAGAGGUUUAAAUCUGGAAUAGAUUGUACACUGUGUCCAAGAUGGAAAUCAGGGAAGGAAUCGAGCUCUUCCCAGAUCCCACCAAGUUCCAAUGUCUUCAAACUGGUGUAGCAGUGUAGCCCUGUGGGCAGAUAUUUUAAUUUCCCACAAUUAACAAUCACCAACUCAGAGAGAGAUGUGAGGUUGUCUAAACUUGGAAGACUCUCUAUAUUAGGGACAUCUCUUAUUUCCAAGUGCACAAGAGAGGCGGGCAGUUGUAGGCCACUACUCACCAAACUUUCUAACCUACGACAUCCUUCAAUGAUCAGUUUAUGGAGGGAUGUGAAGAGGUUUAAAGUUGGAAUAGAUUUUAGACCACUACAUUUAAUUAUACUCAACUCCACAACAGAGAUGGGCUCACUACUCAUCAAACUUUCUAAUCUCCCACAAUUUUGAAUGCUCAAUUUAAGGAGUGAUGUGAAGAGGUUUAAAGUUGGAAUAGAUUGUAGACCCCAACAUUUAUCUAUACUCAACUUCACAACAGAGACGGGCCCACUACUCACCAAACUUUUUAAUCUCUCACAAUUUUUAAUGCUCAAUUCACAAAGGGAUGUGAAGAGGUUUAAAGCUGGAAUAGAUUGUAGACCCCAACAUUUAUCUAUACUCAACUUCACAACAUAGACGAGCCCACUACUCACCAAACUUUCCAACCUUCGACACCCUUCAAUGAUCAGUUCACGGAGGGAUGUGAAGAGUUUUAAAGCUGGAAUAGAUUGUAGAUCCCAACAUUUAUCUAUACUCAACUUCACGACAGAGACGGGCCCAUUACUCGCCAAACUUUCUAACCUCCAACACCUUUCAAUGAUCAGUUCACGGAGGGAUGUGAAGAGGUUUAAAGCUGGAAUAGAUUCUAGACCACUACAUUUAAUUAUACUCAACUCCACUACAGAGACAGGCCCAUUACUCACCAAACUUUCUAAUCUCUCACAAUUUUGAAUGCUCAAUUCACGAAGGGAUGUGAAGCUGUGCAA
rnacentral:lncRNA from 1 species